UAGGGUUAGCAGAAAAAUUGGGUGACUUGGCGUCUCCCUCUCCUCUUCCUCGAGAACUCCCUCUCCCUCUCGGACCGCCGGCGUUGAAACACCAGCGCCCAGGAUCCAAAUCAUGUAGUUGAGCGGCGGCUCGGUGUGAUUGCGCUUGCGCCUAUGUAGCGACGCGAGGUUGUAGCUCUGUGGAUGGACCGUACUGCUGCAUAGGAUCCGUCCAUCCGCCAUUACAGCUCAACGAUCCGAGGUAUGUGCACUGUAUUUCGUUCUUAUAUUAUUCAUGGGCAGCCAUAUUGGUUCUUCUGAUUCCUCCUCAGUUGCCCAAAUUCGUUUGAACCCAUUUCAGAAAUUGGACAGUAUGGGCACUGAAUUUAUGUACGAGAUGCAACCAUAAUGGUGAAAUUUUAUCACUAAUUACAAUUGUUAGAGAGGAAUAUAGAUGUGCUAUGUCUGCUCUGAUAAUUAGUCAAGUACUUCGCUCAAUUUAUACUAAAGUCGUACAUGAACGACUGAGUAUGUAUGUGAAAAAUGAUUACCUGUGAGCCCGCGUACACGGCAAGAGUUUGUUCAUUACUACUUUUUUUCUGUGAUGUCAAUUACUACUUUUUCCUGUGAUGUGUACACGCAAUAGUUUUUACGUGAAAAAUGAUUACCUAGAACUAGAAGCUCACAUUUGCAGGCGUUUUGUUGAAGCAUGCAUAUGAUUGGUUUAUCCAGUUCUGUAUAAUUAUUCUAUGUAACUCUGAAUGAGCCUUACUGUUAGCUUCAGGAAGUUGAUUGUAUGACCUAGAAAGGGAAUUGCUAAGCCUAGCUUCACAUAGAUUUCAAGAUUUGAUUUGUCUUUAUGUGUAACUUCAUUUUCCAGACAACUGCUAUACAUUGUGCUCAUGUGACUAUUUGGCCAAUUAGCACAACCUUAUUAUUAUGUGUACUGAGCACAAUUCCUUUUUCUCAUGUGUGUUGUUGCUCUGUACUGCAGCAGCAGCAGCAGCAUCAUCUGAAACUUUGAAGAUAAGUGAGAACAUGUUCAGCAUCAUUCAUCAUCUGAAACUUGGAAGAUAAUUGAGAACAUGUUCAGCAUCAUCAUCUGAAACUUUGAAGAUAAGUGAGAAGAUGUUCAUCUGUAAUAGAUAUUUUUAGCAUCAUCAUCAGAAAUUCUUGCUCUGUACUUUAGCAAGUGAGACACUUCUAAUAGACACUCAAACAAGAUUUAAUUCUGCAAAUAUGUCUUAAUUUUUCAGCAUUAUAAAGACAAUUGUUGUCCAACCAAAUCACUUUUGAUCUUAGCAUGGCCUUGCCUGGAUCGCUUAAGUUCUGUUUUUUUUUUCCUGAAUUUGUUCUUUGGACUGCAGGGUACCCCUUAUAUGAUAGAAUCAUGUUUCUUUCUACCAGGCAGUUGUACUGUUCGUACUUGGAGUUUCAGAGCCAGUACAUAUUCAGUGAAGUGCAACGGAAAACAGAGGGGAUGGCGCCAUGCAAUCCAUGAUUAGUGUUAAGCCGUGAGUUGAUGUAACUGGGGUUGGUUUGUGUGGUUUGGGUAUUUUGAUAAGCUUGCUCGUUUAGGUUAGUGUUAAGCCUUGAGAUAUGUUACCUGACAAUCACACUUGAUGGAUACAGUUAAGCUAUGUAAUGUACGGUUGUAACUAGAAACCUCACAGAUGAGUAGAUCCAUUAAAUCUGUGUCUAUUAGAAGAAAAUCACUGUUUGCAGGCGUAGUUCGUUCAGUUUUUUUUGUUAUAUAUACUCGUUGCAUCAGUUCAAAGGUGAGUAUUGCAUGUGUAGAACAAGUGUGUCAAAAUUUACUCUCACUACUAAUGGAUUGGUCACAGUAACCAAGUCUACUGAAGAAAAUCUCUUUUUAAAACUUGAGAAAAUGAUUUUUCAACUUGGGUCAAACAAAAAAGUUCGGUUUGAUCACGUCUCCGCAAACAACAGCAGGAUUGGGCAUCAAUACAGGAUUGGGCAGUACUAUUCGUAGCAUUCAAUAAUACUACAAGGUUCCCUUUGUAAAAUGUACCAGCAGCCCAGAUCCUGUCCCUCUGAUUCCAAUCUGACGGGUCAUGGUGCAUUCGUUGCACGAGUUAGCUCGUUGCACUGGAUACAUUCUCAAUAUAGCUAAGGCAGUCCUCGCCUCACACACACGGACACAGAA
rnacentral:lncRNA from 1 species